GUGCUGGGAAAGAAUGAUGACGUUACCAUAAAAUUAACACUUCGGGGCCGCACUUGAACGGUGAAAUGGCCCAGCUACUCCCAACCUUCCUUUUCCUGCAAAUUUGGUACUUCACUGCGGGCAUGUGAGCGGUGAAGCUUUAGGGCGUUAACAAGGGCUUUAUACCGUACUUUGUGGUAAGGCUGCGUACGAAAGGGGAAGGAUAGAUGUGGAAGUGGACGGGUCUGUUCGAAUCACGAGCAAACUGAUUAACCUAAUCGGAACACAGAAUGCAUAAGUGAAGGAUUAGCCGAUAAAAAUGGAUGCUAUAUUAGACUCUGUAUUAUUCGAGACCAUGAGACAGCAGCCUGCUUGAUCGCCGGCAACCAAGAGGGUGUGUUUGCCACCCGAGAACGAUAAACAAGCCUUGUGGCUCUUCCUACCUGAAUUCUCUAAGUGCAUUGAAAGUGUCGAACGUCUUACUGCGGCUGAGGGGCGUUUGUUGGAAAGGCGAGGCGUAAUCCUUGAGGAGUUCAUCGGUCGUGGCUAACCGCAGAUUCGUGGUCUUAGCACUGAGGGUCGAGGUCAAGGGUUAGUCGUAUUAAGGGGUUAACGCACGGGCGAUAGGAUAGUUAAGUUGUGAUUAUGUAUUUUUUAGUGAUAUCGUCGCCCGUGGUUAGAGGGUUGCAGAUGUGUACAUGAAUGAAGGGUCUGAGUAAGCAAGGCUUAUAACUGAUGAAUAUGAACCCUACAAAAUAUCAUUAUGACAGAGCAAAGAAAUGGAAAGUUUUCUCAAAAUAAGGUCUGGUUAACUUCGGUAAGCUUGAAUUUUUGCAUAGAGGUUCCUUAAGUCAUGUUAACCAACAUAUCAAAAAGUGUUUUUCUCUAAUGGAUUUGUCUUCGAGAUAUGAGGCUUAAAGUGCAAUUUGCAAAUGUUUAAAGUAUGAAUUCUCCUCGUUUUUAGGGAGAAAUCGGGCUCUGAUCAGAAAUUAAGCCAACUUUGCUCGCUAAUAUCUAAAUUUCAUAUCUUCUAAAUUUCUUUAAAAUUUGGAAUUAAGCUUUUGGUCAGAGGAACUCCUUGUUUGCGGAAAAUUCCAUGCCACUUUUUUGCUCUGUCUAUCAUUAUGAGUAUUUCAAGGUUGUGAGUUUCAAGGGGGCUUUUGUUAUCGUGACAUAAAUGUUGGAAAGAGAAAUAUAAAAUAAGGUGAAAUUAUAGUUUUGAUGGGAAUCUUUAUUAAGUAACAAAGCUAUAUAUAUUAUUCUUCACAUGAAAUCUUAUAUAUGCAAUAGAUAACUAAAGAGCCAAACUGACAGCAGGUAGAACUCUGUGAUAGGGAUAUUAAAAAAAAAAAAACCUAAAAUAAAAGAUAUUUUGAAAAAUGUCUGAAUAUCUUGAGAAUAAAGUAACAUUCUGACAAAAAAAACUAAAAAGGGGAAAAUCAUGUAAUAAAAGCGCACAGACAUUUUUACAUGGAGAUCCUAAUUAAAUAGGAUGAAAUGCAAAGAAAGUGAUAUUGUAUUACUAUUGAUUAUAACAAUCAAACACAAUGGUUCAUGUCUUCCAGGGGAAACUCAUAACAUUUCUUACUUUUAGCUAGUUUCUUAAUUUACAACUUCUUAACGCUGUUUGAAAAAACAGCGCUA